AGUUGAACACUAACUCAAUUCGAGUCGGUGGAGUAAUUGAAUUUAUAGGACUUUGUGAAUUUCAUAUGGGAUGCGUCACUGGCCUGGAGCCAGGUGCAAACUUCGGAACUUCGUAAUUGAAAGUUCCAGUGAAUCGUGAACUGGUUUUGUCGUGAGAUACUGAUGUUCCAGGAUAUCACAGUUAGUUUGAAGAAAGGUUUGGUGGAGCCAAAUUUGUACAAAUAGAUCAAGAAGGUGUGAAAGAAAAUAAGCAGCUAAGCUGAGCAUUUCGUUUGGUCAUCUCAUCCCCGAAACUCAAAAAAAAAAGUUCUACCGUAAAAUAUCAGUGAUUUUCCAUGAAACCCAAUGAUCUCGAGGACCAAAAAUGAUUGCCUGGCAUAAGAAGGUACACGACAAUGAUAAUCAAGAGCUGCAAAUAUACUUUAAAGAUUGAUGAAUGACGUUUAAUCAACACUGAUAGAAUUGAUCUUUUUUAUAGACCAGUAUUUUAUAAACAACUAGCGGACCCGGCGAACUUUGUUCCGCCACACGGUUUGUUUCACACACGUCAACCGGUUAACUUCAAAAUUCUACUAUAAUUAACCAUAGAACGUUUAGCUGUCAGUUGACAUCAACCGGUCAAUUUCAAAAUUCUAUUAUAAUUACCCAUAGAAUAUAUUACGUUUAGCUGUCAGUUGCGUUUUGUUAUUCCAUAUCAGUUGCGUUUUGUCAUACCACAUUUUAUGUCACGUCCCAUGGGAACGUGAUAAAAAGUAUCCUAUGUCCUUCUCCUGGUUCUAAGCUACCUCUUCAGCAAUUUUCAGCCAAAUCGGUUCAGCCGUUCUUGAGUUAUAAAUAGUGUAACUAACACGACUUUCUUUUAUGUAUAUAGAUUCGUUCUAUUUCUGUCAAAGCGCUUCAUUCCAGGUCAACCCCGAUUGAUCAUGAAAUACUCAUCCAAAUUCACUGACAAACAAUACUCGUAGUACAACAACUUAUACCAAAUUAAUGAACGCAAUUCAAAUAUUUCCUAAUAACAGAACGAUGUAAGCGUUAUUACUGAUUUGUAAUCUAAACAAGAAAAUUGAAUGUGAGACCUCCGCACGGCUCGGUCAUGAAUAUUGGGACACGCGGCGUGAGGUUGAUGAAUUUAAUGUAACACUUGUACUAUGUUCAGUCGCCGAUCUGUAUGGAUUGAAUUGUGAAUUAAAGAAUUUUUUAUCAAUUAUCUACCUCAUAAACACUUUAGUUUUCCUUUUUUCGUUCAAUAUCACAUUUUCUUUGUAAAAAACCAGUCCGGAAUGUAGACCAAAUUAGAUCAUACGAAAAUUAUUUCUAACUUUAUUUAUAAAUGAUAUUAUAAGUUUUUUUUAUAUAUUUUGUGUCACUCUAAUAUUUUCAUGUACCUACAAUCUAUAUCGAGGGGUGAAAGGCUAUUUGGUUUAAGCGACAUUUUUGCAACUUUACACGAGAGCCAUUUAAAGUUUAAAAUUUUGGAAAAAAAAUCAUAACAAAAAAACUUCUUCAGCAAUUUGAAUGGAGUAAACUUAAUUGAAAUUCAAUUAAAAACAUCAAGUUGUUGAUGCUAAUACCGAAUAAAACGGACCUUUAAUUACAAAGAUAAACGUCGCUUAAUACAAAUUGCCUUAAGCCCUUAUUUUUCAGAGUAUGGAAUAAAGAUUUAAGUGACUUCAUAACCACAAUUGGCUACAGGGAAAAAAAAUAAGCGACGCUGCAAUAUAUUUUCAGAGCAAGCCAAAAAGCAUGAAGUGACUUAGCCCAAAAUUAAUAGUAGCAAGCUAUUUAUCUCAACUACCAAUUUAGAUUAAAAUGACUGACAGGCGAAUUUACUUAUGUGACAUAUAAUAUUGAAAAUUUACCGUUUGAUGUUACAUUUUUUUACGUCUAAUACUAUCAGUGGCUGUUAAAACAACCUAAAUAUAUCGCAAUCACUGAAAAUCUCAGGUGCUUAUAUUGAAUAAAUAAAGAAAUGCACAAAACACAACAACAGUUAAAGUAUUUAUUUAGAAAAAUAAUUAAGUAGAUCAGUCUCAAUGCGGGAACAUCAAUUAUAUUUAUUUAUUUUUUAGUCUUAAUCAACAACAUCAGUUAAACUAUUAAUAUUUUGUAUAAUAAUCAAUUAUUUAUUAUAUUAUUAUAAUUAUAGAUGAUUUUCCUACAGUCAGACUGAUUUUACUUGAUUAAUAUACAACAUAUUAAUUAACAACAUCAGUUAAAGUAUUCAUAUUUCGUAUAAUAAUCAAGUAAAAUCAAUCAGAGUGUAGGAAAAUCAACUAUAAUUAAUUCAUUAUACAUGAUUUUCCUACAUUCAGACUGAUUUUACUUGAUUAUUACACAUCAGUUAAUGUAUUAAUACGUAUUAGUAUUUUGUACAUUAUAAAGUAUCAUUACUUUUACUGAUGUGAUAUUAAUCAAGUAAAUUCAGUCUGAAUGUAGGAAAAUCAACUAUAAUUAGGUAUUAUUUAUUCAGUAUUACUUGAGAUCGGCUGUCAUAAAACUUACUAAGAGUAUAAUUAAUCACAACCAAUAUUGUUUAAUUAUAACUUAAACUAAUAAAAACAAAAUAAAAAAUAUCAAAUCAAUAAACAAAACUUGUAGUAAUUAUAAAAUACAGCCAAUGCUUGAUAAUAAUCAUAAUGCAAUAAGAAAAAACGUAUUUAAUAAUCAUUUUCUUCGACUGUAUCUUCUACAUCAGUAUCCAGUAGAACAUCUUUGGAAUUGCAGUGUUGUAGAUUUAUGUAUUCUUUAUGAAAUAUCUUGGGUAUAACCCCAGUGUCACACAAUUUCUUUAGGUCCAUGUAUUUGACUUUGGUAAUCGGCAAACUUGAAUUAUAUCUACGAUUGAUAGCUCUAGGUUUCGCAAUAAUUUGUAUAAUCUCUUCGGAUGCAUUAUCUUUCAUUGAAAAUUUUACUUUCAUUUGAUUUGGAUGAGAUUUUUUAAAUGUUGCUGUACGGAUUUUACUAAUUUUACCUACAAGGUUACCCUUAAAAUAUUUUUCAGACAUAUCAUCAAAAUUUAAGAAAUCCUCGUGUGUCAGAUUUUCAACAUUAUAAGGUGCUGGUUCUUUUCUUGCUAGCUGGCUUAUUGUAGCCCAUUGCGAAGGGGCCCAUACAGUAAUAUUUCUUACGGAUUGUUCGAUUGUAGAGUGUAUGCUGUCUACCGACAUUUCCGUGUGGCCAGGGAGAAGGUAAUUCAUUUGAAUUGCUUGUAAAUUGUUCGAUUGCAACAAAGCAUUAUGUAUUGUUGCAAGGACUAUUUUAUUUUUGUUUUGUCCAGGGCAAGAAUCUGAAUACAAGAUCAAAGAUGUAAUGGUACCUCGAGAAUCCACAUUCUCUAUGUAUUUCUGUAUAAUAGUAGCAAUUUCAUUUGCGCCCCUCUUUGCUUCAGAUUCUCCUCAGAUAAAACAAAAACCAUUCCUUGUGAUGCUUUCAUAAAAACAUAAAUUAUAAACAGCAUACUUUCUAGAAUAAAAUAGUAACAUGUUAUUGCCAUGAGGCGUAUUGAGAACUUUCUGGAGGUCAAAAGAUGCACUCUGGAGUUCGACUGAAGCGCCUGCGCGCGGCAGUCCGGUUGAAAGAUCACGAUUUUUAACUCCCGGGAGAUGAAAUAAAUAUUUAUGGUAUCAUGCGACAUGAAUGAAAUGUAUCAUAUUAAAAUUUUAUGAUUGAAAGACC